rnacentral:rRNA from 1 species
UAGGGAAUCUUCGGCAAUGGACGAAAGUCUGACCGAGCAACGCCGCGUGAGUGAAGAAGGUUUUCGGAUCGUAAAACUCUGUUGUUAGAGAAGAACAAGGACGUUAGUAACUGAACGUCCCCUGACGGUAUCUAACCAGAAAGCCACGGCUAACUACGUGCCAGCAGCCGCGGUAAUACGUAGGUGGCAAGCGUUGUCCGGAUUUAUUGGGCGUAAAGCGAGCGCAGGCGGUUUCUUAAGUCUGAUGUGAAAGCCCCCGGCUCAACCGGGGAGGGUCAUUGGAAACUGGGAGACUUGAGUGCAGAAGAGGAGAGUGGAAUUCCAUGUGGAGCGGUGAACUGCGUAGAUAUAUGGAGGAACACCAGUGGCGAAGGCGGCUCUCUGGUCUGUAACUGACGCUGAGGCUCGAAAGCGUGGGGAGCAAACAGG